AGUAAUACAUCGGAACGUGUCUUCUAGUGGGGGAUAACUGCCCGAAAGGGCAGCUAAUACCGCAUGAGACCUGAGGGUGAAAGCGGGGGAUCGGCAAGACCUCGCGCUGGAAGAGCGGCCGAUGUCCGAUUAGCUAGUUGGUGAGGUAAAGGCUCACCAAGGCGACGAUCGGUAGCUGGUCUGAGAGGACGACCAGCCACACUGGGACUGAGACACGGCCCAG
rnacentral:rRNA from 1 species